rnacentral:rRNA from 1 species
UGAACGCUGGCGGCGUGCCUAACACAUGCAAGUCGAACGAAGCACUGUAAACGGAGAUUCGUCGAAGUUUACUUUGACUUAGUGGCGGACGGGUGAGUAAUGUAUGAGCAACCUGCCUUUCAGAGGGGGACAACAGUUAGAAAUGACUGCUAAUACCGCAUAGGCGCACAGUAUCGCAUGAUACAGUGUGAAAAAACUCCGGUGGUGUGAGAUGGACCCGCGUCUGAUUAGCUAGUUGGUGAGGUAACGGCCCACCAAGGCGACGAUCAGUAGCCGGCUUGAGAGAGUGAACGGCCACAUUGGAACUGAGACACGGUCCAAACUCCUACGGGAGGCAGCAGUGGGGAAUAUUGCACAAUGGGGGAAACCCUGAUGCAGCGACGCCGCGUGAGCGAAGAAGUAUUUCGGUAUGUAAAGCUCUAUCAGCAGGGAAGAUAAUGACGGUACCUGACUAAGAAGCCCCGGCUAACUACGUG